rnacentral:lncRNA from 1 species
CAUGUGAUAGUCAAUGACAAAUCAGAAAUAACUAACUGCCCACCUGGGCUGUCCUAAGCCAAGCUAGAGCCACCAUUGGCACUUGUGAGGCACAGGAAAUGAGGUAGGGAAUUUGCGCACUUCCUGUGGAGAGAGCUAGAUGGCAGUUCGUGUUCGAAGCUUAAAGAGUGAGGAGGCCCGCAGACAGCUUCCCUUCAGAUCGGAGUCAUCAACAACAUGCAGUGGCAUGACAAAAGUGAAGGUAUUUGGCAAUGGCCUGGGAUGCAAUGGAUGACUCCACAGUGCCUGCUUCAACCACCUUCAUGAUUGUUCUCAUCUGCCCCUUUUUCCAGGUAGGUGGCAGACAGACAGACAGACAACUACACAUUGAUGGAACUGGGAAUCCAAGAGUUCUGAAUGUUUGGCCUGGCAGCAUAGCAUCAGAGAGGCAUGCUUUACCCUUUCCUGGAAGAAGAGAAGAGACAUUAGCUUAACUUAAAGAAUUUCACAAAGUUGGACUAAGGAGAAUGGAGAAUGGAAUCAUCACAAAGAAGCGAGCCUGGCACCAUAGAAAGAGGGAAAGAGCAUUAGCAAGAGGCAGAAAACCUGGGUUCAAAUUCUGAUUCUCCUGCUUGUUACCUGCCUGACCUUGAUCAAGGCAUUCAACCCCUCUCAGCCUGUCUUGUCAUCAGUAAAAUGGGAAUUGUGAUGGUGCCUGCCUCAUGGAGUACGUGAACAUCAUCAGAUGAGAUUUUUGUGUGAUGUUUUGUUUUACAAUAUAGUACAAUAUGGUAAAACAAGGUACGAUGAAUACUAUGUUAGGUAUUAUCCUAUAAUAUAGCAUAGCAUGUUUUGUUCUAUAUUAUAUGAUAUAUUAUAGUAUUGUUUAUUAGUAUUUAU